rnacentral:rRNA from 1 species
AGUGAACGCUGGCGGUAGGCCUAACACAUGCAAGUCGAACGGCAGCACAGUAAGAGCUUGCUCUUACGGGUGGCGAGUGGCGGACGGGUGAGGAAUACAUCGGAAUCUACUUUUUCGUGGGGGAUAACGUAGGGAAACUUACGCUAAUACCGCAUACGACCUACGGGUGAAAGCAGGGGAUCUUCGGACCUUGCGCGAUUGAAUGAGCCGAUGUCGGAUUAGCUAGUUGGCGGGGUGAAGGCCCACCAAGGCGACGAUCCGCAGCUGGUCUGAGAGGAUGAUCAGCCACACUGGAACUGAGACACGGUCCAGACUCCUACGGGAGGCAGCAGUGGGGAAUAUUGGACAAUGGGCGCAAGCCUGAUCCAGCCAUACCGCGUGGGUGAAGAAGGCCUUCGGGUUGUAAAGCCCUUUUGUUGGGAAAGAAAAGCAGCAGGUUAAUACCCCGCUGUUCUGACGGUACCCAAAGAAUAAGCACCGGCUAACUUCGUG